rnacentral:misc_RNA from 1 species
UACGGAGGGGGCAAGCGUUGUUCGGAAUUACUGGGCGUAAAGGGCACGUAGGCGGCGAUGCGGGUCAGAUGUGAAAGCCCCGGGCUCAACCUGGGAAUGGCAUUUGAAACUGCGUUGCUUGAGGUUGGAAGAGGAGAACGGAAUUCCCAGUGUAGAGGUGAAAUUCGUAGAUAUUGGGAAGAACACCAGUGGCGAAGGCGGUUCUCUGGUCCACACCUGACGCUGAGGUGCGAAAGCGUGGGGAGCAAACAGG